rnacentral:rRNA from 1 species
UACAGAGGUCUCAAGCGUUGUUCGGAUUCAUUGGGCGUAAAGGGUGCGUAGGUGGCGAGGUAAGUCGGAUGUGAAAUCUCAGGGCUCAAUCCUGAAACUGCAUUCGAUACUGCCUUGCUCGAGGACUGGAGAGGAGAUUGGAAUUCACGGUGUAGCAGUGAAAUGCGCAGAUAUCAGGAAGAACACCCGUGGCGAAGGCGGCUCUCUGGGACGGUACUGACGCUGAGACGCGAAAGCGUGGGGAGCGAACAGG